GUGACUGGUAAGCGGAAUCCAGGACACGCGUUUCAACCUAGAUUUGAGUUUUGGAUUUCACUUGCUAGUUACA
rnacentral:pre_miRNA from 1 species